rnacentral:rRNA from 1 species
GACGAACGCUGGCGGCGUGCUUAACACACGCAAGUCGAACGAUGAAGCUAGAGCUUGCUCUGGUGAAUUAGUGGCGAACGGGUGAGUAACACGUGAGUAACCUGCCCCGAACUCUGGGAUAACUGCUGGAAACGGUAGCUAAUACUGGAUACGACCUACGAAGGCAUCUUCUGUAGGUGGAAAGAAUUUCGGUUCGGGAUGGACUCGCGGCCUAUCAGCUUGUUGGUGAGGUAAUGGCUCACCAAGGCGACGACGGGUAGCCGGCCUGAGAGGGUGACCGGCCGCACUGGGACUGAGACACGGCGCAGACUCCUACGGGAGGCAGCAGUGGGGAAUAUUGCACAAUGGGCGCAAGCCUGAUGCAGCAACGCCGCGUGAGGGAUGACGGCCUUCGGGUUGUAAACCUCUUUUAGUAGGGAAGAAGCGAAAGUGACGGUACCUGCAGAAAAAGCACCGGCUAACUACGUGCCAGCAGCCGCCGUAA